rnacentral:misc_RNA from 1 species
GAUGAAGAACGUAGCGAAAUGCGAUAAGUAAUGUGAAUUCAGAAUUCAGUGAAUCAUCGAAUCUUUGAACGCAUCUUGCGCUCCUUGGUAUUCUGAGGAGCAUGCCUGUUUGAGUGUCAUUAAAUUCUCAACUACACUGACUUUGAAUUGGUGUGGCUUGGAUUUGGGGGGAAAAUUGUUGUGGGCUUUUUGUAUAGUCUGCUCCCCUGAAAUUGAUUAGCGGUACCUUUGUGGAACUGUCUACAGGUGUGAUAAUUAUCUACAUCUUAGACAUCUGCUGGAAUGCUGCUUUCUAAACCUUACUUGUAUUGACAAUCUUGACCUCAAAUCAGGUAGGACUACCCGCUGAACUUAAGCAUAUCAAUAAGCGGAGGA